GAUUUAUAAAGAAGAGGUGAGAGAUUAGGCUCCCAGACCCUCUGGCAACCGCCCUUGACGUAGGAGAGGUGCCAAUACCUACCCAAAAAGCCGGGAACUAUAAAUU
rnacentral:ncRNA from 2 species